GACGGAGGGUGCGAGCGUUGUUCGGAUUGACUGGGCGUAAAGGGCGUGUAGGCGGUCGGCCAAGUCUGGUGUGAAAGCCCGGGGCUCAGCUCCGGAAGUGCGCCGGAAACUAGCUGGCUGGAGCGCGGUAGAGGAGGGUGGAAUUCCUGGUGUAGCGGUGAAAUGCGUAGAUAUCAGGAGGAACACCGGUGGCGAAGGCGGUUCUCUGGGCCUGUGCUGACGCUGAGGAGCGAAAGCGUGGGGAGCGAACAGG
rnacentral:rRNA from 1 species